AAGCGCUUGCAGCCAGACUUGCUUGCAGUUGCUCAUCUGGGCGUUCGCCCAGUGCACUCUUCUGUAGGCAGGCCAGCAUCAGUUUGGGCGGUUGGACAAAGGCCUCUGUCAUGUAUCUUCUCCGGAAGACCUUAUAGGGGAGGCGUAAUGCAACCAGCCUGGACUGAGGUCCGCGCAUCUGCUAGGAUGCUGGCGUAAUGGCUGUAAGCGG
rnacentral:rRNA from 1 species